UUGGCCAUAUCACAUUGAAGCACUGAUUCCCAUACAAUCACCAAAAUUAAGCAAUGUUGAUCCUGGUCAGUACCUAGAUGGGUGACUGCUUGGGAAUACCAUGUACUGCAAG